AGACCCUGCUCUGGUGGUGUCACCGCUCUGCUGUCGCAGGGAACCGGACAGCUUGCGCAGCGGAUGGGUGUGCGAAUGGACGCUGAGGGUCUACAUGAAGGAAGACUACUACUCGGGGCAGGAAUGCAGUCUUCUGUAUCUCCCCACAGCUUCUAAGAGUGUUCUGCAGCUCAAAGUUCCCUGAUAAAGAGGGUGACUCAAGCAUUUUAAUGAACCAGAGUACAGAUCAAGGCUGUGCAAGCAAAGGACUUCAUAAAGCUUCAGAAAGACCGGAACCAAGCCUGUCACUCCUUCAUUUAACGGAUACUUAUCGAGAGCCCAUGUGUGUCAGAUACCUGCACCGUGGAGAGGCAAGGGUGAACGAAACACCAGGGAUUCUGCAAUGAACCUUCUCAAUUAAUUCAGAGUCACCAGCACCUGGGAAUCCCCGGCAUACAGCAGUCACUUAAUGAAUACUCACUGGAUAAGAGACAAACGUGCUUCUGGACAGUGACGUGUACCAGUGGGGUGGCUGAGUCAUCAACAAAGCUGCUGUGUGCUGGCUGAAGGAGGGGCCAGAGAGAUUCAGAGUCCCAUGGGCUCAGCCUAGGGGGCUGCUGAGGCCAGUCUCUUCAUUGCUCUGGAAGACAAAAGGCUACGGCCCCCACUGGUCUCCUUCUCCCUCAUCCUGGGGCUCUGGGCAAGUUCAUCAACAUCCCCCCCGCCCCCCCG